UUUCCUAGAAGAGAAAUUAAAAAAACAAAGGAUCAGCACAAUUUUAAGGUUCUCAUUAAAUAUUUUAAUUUUUUUUUCCAAAAACAAACUCCCAAGUUACACUGCCACAAGUUGUGGAUGGGAGGGCUGGAUUUCCUGAACCCUUCCCAGCAUUGCUCGAGUUUCUUGGUUCCUCCGCUAGAGAAGAGGAGCCCCAGAGCUCUGUAGGCUCCAGAUGAAGUGACCACUUCUUAGCACCUCCACAAUUGACACCUCGUCUGUCACCACCUCUCUGCCUGGGUGACUACAGUGGUGGCCCCCUCCCUGCCCUCCAAGUGCCCACGCUUGCCCCUACAGUCUGUUCCCAACACAGCAGCCAGAGAGACCAUCUUGCAAUAAAAGUGCCCAAAUCAUAAGCAGACAUCUCAUUGGAUUUACUGAGCACACCCAGGUAUCCACCACCCAAGGGAAGCAACGAAGGUGACCCCACCCAGCAUUUACCCUGUGUCCCUAUCUUGGACAUUGAUUCUGCUCCAGAGGUCACAAUCUCAUGCCGCCAAUUGCCAUAGAUUCGUUUUGCUUGGUCUUAAACUUUAUAUAAAUGGUAAGUUGCAAAAAGUGGAAACUUUCGUUACUGGAUUCUUUUGUUGGCCUUAUGCUUGUAAGAUGCGUCCACAAUGUUAAGAUACAUUUCUUGCAAUAAUUUGUAGAAUUUACAUCUUUACAAUGUUCAACAUUCCCAUUCAGAAUCAUGAUAUAGAUCUUCAUUUAAUCAAAUCUGUGCAUGUGUUAGAAAAUUCAAAGAGUGUAUUUUUAUAGUAUUGUAACUUGGUAAUUUAUGGCUUUAGUUGCUAUUGAGAGUAAAUUUUCCAGCAUAUUUUUAAACUGGUUCUUGCUGAUAAAAUACCCGGUGAUUAAAAUAUAUGUAUAUAGUUGUCGUUUUACAUAUAAAAUAUUUUAAUCAGCUUGUCUUUGAUUACUGGUAAAGUGAGCACAUUUCCAUGUGUUUAUUGGCCACAUUAAUUUUUACCUUUUAAUUGCUGCUACUGCUGCUUCUGCUUCUUCUUCUUGUUCUUCCUAGUUAUUCUUGUUAAUUUUAACAAUUCUUUAUAUUUUAAGGAUAUCUUUGGAAUAUGUUGUGAAAGUAUUUUCCCAGUUUAUCUUUUUUUCUUAACUUGUUGCUAUUUUUUGACGUAUUUUAAAAUAUGUGCAGAGGCAAAUCAAUCAUUUGUUUAUUUUGUGAUACCUUCUUUGCAUUUAUUUUUAGAACACUUUUUAUUAAAUGACUUAUCUUCCCUUCCUUUUUUUGAGGUAAUGUCUCUAUUGUAUACUAUAUAUAUUUGUAUCUAUUUCUGGACUUUAUAUUUUAUUCCAUUGAUAUGGCUAGGUAUAGAAUUGUACAAUUUAAAUUAUUAUAGCUCUAUAAAGCAUUUUGAUUUUUUUCAACGUGAGUCAUUUUUCCUUAUUCUGCUUUUCCAAACAAUUUUGGUUGUUCUCAUUUUUUCUUGCAAAUAAAAUAUAUGUAUCAUUUCACUGAAUUCCAAACAAAUAAAAUCUCUUCAGAUUUUGAAUUGGAAUUGCAUUAAAUGUGUAAAUUAUCUCCAAAAAGUUUACAUCUUCCCAUUAUUUGUCCUCCUAUCCAGGAAAUUAUACAUCUUUUUAUUUGUUCAAAUAUUCUUUUCUGCCCCUUAUUAAAUUUUUAACUUUUCUUUGGGUGCACUUUUCUUGUUAGGUUUAUUUGUAUGAAUUUUAUAUUGUUUUGUUAUUUUAAAUUUAAAUACUCUUUUAAAUGUGUUGUUAGUUGGUUAUUAGUGGUGUGUAGGAAAAGUAUUUCUUAUAUUGCUAUAAUAAUGAUAGUUAAACUUUAUAGAGUGAAACAAGGAAAGACAGUGUAACACAGGUGGUUAGGAGAAAGGGUUUUGGAGUCAGAUUACCUGGAUUCAAAUGCCAGUCCUAUUACUAGGUGUAUGACAUUGGGCCUUGGUGUCCUCAUUUGUACAAUGGGGGUGAUACAAUUCUUGCUUCAUAGGAUGCAUAUAAAGUGAUUAGGUUAUACUCAAGUUUCUUUGGACAGACUAAUCAUAUAACUUACAAGUAAUAAUUUUAUCCUUUUUGAUGUUUUUACUGUUUUUCUGUAUGUCUUAUAAUGGGAAUUUCUAGGAAAAUGUUUACCAACAUUUGUGGUAAUUAACAUCCUCAACUGUUUCCUGAUUUUAACGAGAACAUCUUUAUUAUUUCAUUGUUAACUAUGAUGGUGGGUAUUUGUUAAUUAAUAGGUCUUAUUGGGAAUGAAUGUUGAAUUUUACCACAUGCCUUUUUAGUAUUUAUUGCGAUAAUCAUUUUUCCUUUCUCAAACCUUUCUGUGUGAUACUUUGUAUUAUUAGUUUUCUCACAUUGAUCCAUCAUUGCAUUUUAGUAAUCAAAUAUCCUUGGUAUGAUAUAGUCUUCUUCUAAUAUAUUGCUGGAUUUGAUUUGCUAAAACAUUUUAAAGCUUUUUCUCCAUACUUGUAAGCUAUAUUAGUGUCAGUUGCCUCCUUUGCCCUAGGUUCAUCAGACUUGUUAACAAGAUUACAAGUUUAUAAGUUAAUUUGGAAUUUAUAAGUAGAUUUGGAAAGAUUUACAUAUAUUGCUGUGUUCUGCAAUAAUUUGUUUAGAAUGGGAAUUAACUUUUUGUUGAAGGUUUGAAAAAACUCACCCAUAAACAAACUACACACCCAUCUGAGCCGCCUGACUUUAUUGAAUGCAGCCUUUGACAACUUAUUUAGUAUCUUCUAUACUUACUGAUUUAUCAGGGAAUCUACUUAUUGAGUUAAUUUAUGUUUUCCUAGAAAAUUCAACUUUAUGCUGUCUACAAGAGGCAUACUAACUCAUAAAAAUUAAAAGACUGACCCAGAAAACACAGCAAAAAGAAAAAUAUCACGAAAUGAUUGUCAGUCCAAUUAAAAUUCAAGACUGGAAGAAUUCAUGGGUCAGAGAAGGUAAUAUUUUGUUGACAAAGGAUAUGAUCUUCCAUCAUACAUAUUAAGCCCUGAAUAAUGUAGCCAGGUCAUAUAUAAAGGAAAACUUGUUCAAAGUGUAAGGGAUUGACAGGGAAAAAAAAGCGAUGGGAAACUUUAAAACAUUUAACUCAUUUCUUGACAGAUCAAGUGGCAAAAUAUAAACGUGGAUAAGGAGACUGAAUACCUUUCUUAUGUCUUCAGCAGGCAGGCUAGGCUGGCCCACUUUAGCCUAAAUCCCGGGAUCCAGCAAGCAUUCAUCUCACAUAGCUCGGGUUUUACUGAGUUGGUUCCUCUGCCUGCUUCUCUGACUUGUUUACCCGUGGAGUACACGAGAACUACAACCCCCAGCAUGCACUGCGGUCAGUGGCUUCCUCCGGGGCUUCCCAUCCAGAAUCCUUUAUUCCCACCAGUCACCACUCUACCCUCUCCCCGAAGCAAUUUCCAGCCAUCUAUCUGGGAACUGUAAUCUUUCCACGUCAGGGAAAAAGACGAUAUAGAAGGUUGGAUGGGUAGUAUUCAGACUCCCUCGGAAAACAAAGCACACUCAUACAGGACCAGAAACCCCGUUUACUGACUGGGACCGCCUGUGGGUCUCAGAGUCAGAGAGCCAAGAGGGAGUAGGAGGCAAAACCAAUGUCUUCC
rnacentral:lncRNA from 1 species